rnacentral:rRNA from 1 species
UUAAGCGACUAAGCGUACACGGUGGAUGCCUAGGCAGUCAGAGGCGAUGAAGGGCGUGCUAAUCUGCGAAAAGCGUCGGUAAGCUGAUAUGAAGCGUUAUAACCGACGAUACCCGAAUGGGGAAACCCAGUGCAAUACGUUGCACUAUCGUUAGAUGAAUACAUAGUCUAACGAGGCGAACCGGGGGAACUGAAACAUCUAAGUACCCCGAGGAAAAGAAAUCAACCGAGAUUCCCCCAGUAGCGGCGAGCGAACGGGGAGGAGCCCAGAGUCUGAAUCAGUUUGUGUGUUAGUGGAAGCGUCUGGAAAGUCGCACGGUACAGGGUGAUAGUCCCGUACACCAAAAUGCACAGGCUGUGAACUCGAUGAGUAGGGCGGGACACGUGACAUCCUGUCUGAAUAUGGGGGGACCAUCCUCCAAGGCUAAAUACUCCUGACUGACCGAUAGUGAACCAGUACCGUGAGGGAAAGGCGAAAAGAACCCCGGCGAGGGGAGUGAAAUAGAACCUGAAACCGUGUACGUACAAGCAGUGGGAGCACCUUCGUGGUGUGACUGCGUACCUUUUGUAUAAUGGGUCAGCGACUUAUAUUUUGUAGCAAGGUUAACCGAAUAGGGGAGCCGUAGGGAAACCGAGUCUUAACUGGGCGUCUAGUUGCAAGGUAUAGACCCGAAACCCGGUGAUCUAGCCAUGGGCAGGUUGAAGGUUGGGUAACACUAACUGGAGGACCGAACCGACUAAUGUUGAAAAAUUAGCGGAUGACUUGUGGCUGGGGGUGAAAGGCCAAUCAAACCGGGAGAUAGCUGGUUCUCCCCGAAAGCUAUUUAGGUAGCGCCUCGUGAACUCAUCUUCGGGGGUAGAGCACUGUUUCGGCUAGGGGGCCAUCCCGGCUUACCAAACCGAUGCAAACUCCGAAUACCGAAGAAUGUUAUCACGGGAGACACACGGCGGGUGCUAACGUCCGUCGUGAAGAGGGAAACAACCCAGACCGCCAGCUAAGGUCCCAAAGUCAUGGUUAAGUGGGAAACGAUGUGGGAAGGCACAGACAGCCAGGAUGUUGGCUUAGAAGCAGCCAUCAUUUAAAGAAAGCGUAAUAGCUCACUGGUCGAGUCGGCCUGCGCGGAAGAUAUAACGGGGCUAAACCAUGCACCGAAGCUGCGGCAGCGACACUUAGGUGUUGUUGGGUAGGGGAGCGUUCUGUAAGCCGUUGAAGGUGACCUGUGAGGGUUGCUGGAGGUAUCAGAAGUGCGAAUGCUGACAUAAGUAACGAUAAUGCGGGUGAAAAACCCGCACGCCGGAAGACCAAGGGUUCCUGUCCAACGUUAAUCGGGGCAGGGUGAGUCGACCCCUAAGGCGAGGCUGAAAAGCGUAGUCGAUGGGAAACAGGUUAAUAUUCCUGUACUUGGUGUUACUGCGAAGGGGGGACGGAGAAGGCUAGGCUGGCCGGGCGACGGUUGUCCCGGUUUAAGCGUGUAGGGGGAGUGACCAGGUAAAUCCGGUUGCUUAUCAACCCUGAGGCGUGAUGACGAUGCACCACGGUGCAGAAGCAGUUGAUGCCAUGCUUCCAGGAAAAGCCUCUAAGCAUCAGGUAACAUUAAAUCGUACCCCAAACCGACACAGGUGGUCAGGUAGAGAAUACUCAGGCGCUUGAGAGAACUCGGGUGAAGGAACUAGGCAAAAUGGUGCCGUAACUUCGGGAGAAGGCACGCUGGCGUUAGGUGAAAGGACUAGCUCCUGGAGCUGAAGCCAGUCGCAGAUACCAGCUGGCUGCAACUGUUUAAUAAAAACACAGCACUGUGCAAACACGAAAGUGGACGUAUACGGUGUGACGCCUGCCCGGUGCUGGAAGGUUAAUUGAUGGGGUCAGCCGCAAGGCGAAGCUCUUGAUCGAAGCCCCAGUAAACGGCGGCCGUAACUAUAACGGUCCUAAGGUAGCGAAAUUCCUUGUCGGGUAAGUUCCGACCUGCACGAAUGGCGUAAUGAUGGCCAGGCUGUCUCCACCCGAGACUCAGUGAAAUUGAACUCGCUGUGAAGAUGCAGUGUACCCGCGGCAAGACGGAAAGACCCCGUGAACCUUUACUAUAGCUUGACACUGAACAUUGAGCCUUGAUGUGUAGGAUAGGUGGGAGGCCUUGAAGUGUGGACGCCAGUCUGCAUGGAGCCAACCUUGAAAUACCACCCUUUAAUGUUUGAUGUUCUAACUCGGCCCCAUGAUCUGGGGUGAGGACAGUGUCUGGUGGGUAGUUUGACUGGGGCGGUCUCCUCCCAAAGAGUAACGGAGGAGCACGAAGGUUAGCUAAUCACGGUCGGACAUCGUGAGGUUAGUGCAAUGGCAUAAGCUAGCUUGACUGCGAGAGUGACGGCUCGAGCAGGUACGAAAGUAGGUCUUAGUGAUCCGGUGGUUCUGAAUGGAAGGGCCAUCGCUCAACGGAUAAAAGGUACUCCGGGGAUAACAGGCUGAUACCGCCCAAGAGUUCAUAUCGACGGCGGUGUUUGGCACCUCGAUGUCGGCUCAUCACAUCCUGGGGCUGAAGUAGGUCCCAAGGGUAUGGCUGUUCGCCAUUUAAAGUGGUACGCGAGCUGGGUUCAGAACGUCGUGAGACAGUUCGGUCCCUAUCUGCCGUGGGCGUUGGAAGAUUGAGAGGGGCUGCUCCUAGUACGAGAGGACCGGAGUGGACGAAUCACUGGUGUUCGGGUUGUCAUGCCAAUGGCAUUGCCCGGUAGCUAAAUUCGGAAGAGAUAACCGCUGAAAGCAUCUAAGCGGGAAACUUGCCUCGAGAUGAGUCUUCCCUGGGGCUUAAAGCCCCCUGAAGGAACGUUAAAGACUAUGACGUUGAUAGGCUGGGUGUGUAAGUGCAGCGAUGUAUUGAGCUAACCAGUACUAAUGAUCCGUGAGGCUUAACCUU